UGGGGAAUCUUGCGCAAUGGGGGAAACCCUGACGCAGCGACGCCGCGUGCGGGAUGAAGGCCUUCGGGUUGUAAACCGCUUUCAGCAGGGACGAGGCCUUAUGGUGACGGUACCUGCAGAAGAAGCUCCGGCUAAAUACGUGCCAGCAGCCGCGGUAAUACGUAUGGAGCAAGCGUUAUCCGGAUUCAUUGGGCGUAAAGCGCUCGUAGGCGGUCUGUUAGGUCGGCAAGUUAAAUCCGGGGGCUCAACCCCCGUCCGCUUCCGAUACCGGCAGACUUGAGUUUGGUAGGGGAAGGUGGAAAUCCUAGUGUAGCGGUGGAAUGCGCAGAUAUUAGGAAGAACACCGGUGGCGAAGGCGGCCUUCUGGGCCAUAACUGACGCUGAGGAGCGAAAGCUAGGGGAGCGAACAGG
rnacentral:rRNA from 1 species